UACGUAGGUCCCGAGCGUUGUCCGGAUUUAUUGGGCGUAAAGCGUGCGCAGGUGGUUUAUUAAGUCUGGUGUAAAAGGCAGUGGCUCAACCAUUGUAUGCAUUGGAAACUGGUAGACUUGAGUGCAGGAGAGGAGAGUGGAAUUCCAUGUGUAGCGGUGAAAUGCGUAGAUAUAUGGAGGAACACCGGUGGCGGAAGCGGCUCUCUGGCCUGUAAUUGACACUGAGGCUCGAAAGCGUGGGGAGCAAACAGG
rnacentral:rRNA from 1 species